rnacentral:rRNA from 1 species
GGCGGGUGCCUAUACAUGCAAGUCGAACGAACUCUGGUAUUGAUUGGUGCUUGCAUCAUGAUUUACAUUUGAGUGAGUGGCGAACUGGUGAGUAACACGUGGGAAACCUGCCCAGAAGCGGGGGAUAACACCUGGAAACAGAUGCUAAUACCGCAUAACAACUUGGACCGCAUGGUCCGAGUUUGAAAGAUGGCUUCGGCUAUCACUUUUGGAUGGUCCCGCGGCGUAUUAGCUAGAUGGUGGGGUAACGGCUCACCAUGGCAAUGAUACGUAGCCGACCUGAGAGGGUAAUCGGCCACAUUGGGACUGAGACACGGCCCAAACUCCUACGGGAGGCAGCAGUAGGGAAUCUUCCACAAUGGACGAAAGUCUGAUGGAGCAACGCCGCGUGAGUGAAGAAGGGUUUCGGCUCGUAAAACUCUGUUGUUAAAGAAGAACAUAUCUGAGAGUAACUGUUCAGGUAUUGACGGUAUUUAACCAGAAAGCCACGGCUAACUACGUGCCAGCAGCCGCGGUAAUACGUAGGUGGCAAGCGUUGUCCGGAUUUAUUGGGCGUAAAGCGAGCGCAGGCGGUUUUUUAAGUCUGAUGUGAAAGCCUUCGGCUCAACCGAAGAAGUGCAUCGGAAACUGGGAAACUUGAGUGCAGAAGAGGACAGUGGAACUCCAUGUGUAGCGGUGAAAUGCGUAGAUAUAUGGAAGAACACCAGUGGCGAAGGCGGCUGUCUGGUCUGUAACUGACGCUGAGGCUCGAAAGUAUGGGUAGCAAACAGGAUUAGAUACCCUGGUAGUCCAUACCGUAAACGAUGAAUGCUAAGUGUUGGAGGGUUUCCGCCCUUCAGUGCUGCAGCUAACGCAUUAAGCAUUCCGCCUGGGGAGUACGGCCGCAAGGCUGAAACUCAAAGGAAUUGACGGGGGCCCGCACAAGCGGUGGAGCAUGUGGUUUAAUUCGAAGCUACGCGAAGAACCUUACCAGGUCUUGACAUACUAUGCAAAUCUAAGAGAUUAGACGUUCCCUUCGGGGACAUGGAUACAGGUGGUGCAUGGUUGUCGUCAGCUCGUGUCGUGAGAUGUUGGGUUAAGUCCCGCAACGAGCGCAACCCUUAUUAUCAGUUGCCAGCAUUAAGUUGGGCACUCUGGUGAGACUGCCGGUGACAAACCGGAGGAAGGUGGGGAUGACGUCAAAUCAUCAUGCCCCUUAUGACCUGGGCUACACACGUGCUACAAUGGAUGGUACAACGAGUUGCGAACUCGCGAGAGUAAGCUAAUCUCUUAAAGCCAUUCUCAGUUCGGAUUGUAGGCUGCAACUCGCCUACAUGAAGUCGGAAUCGCUAGUAAUCGCGGAUCAGCAGCC